CCUACGGGUGGCAGCAGUAGGGAAUCUUCCACAAUGGGCGAAAGCCUGAUGGAGCAACGCCGCGUGGGUGAAGAAGGUCUUCGGAUCGUAAAACCCUGUUGUUAGAGAAGAAAAUGCGUGAGAGUAACUGUUUACGUUUCGACGGUAUCUAACCAGAAAGCCACGGCUAACUACGGGCCAGCAGCCGCGGUAAUACGUAGGGGGCAAGCGUUAUCCGGAUUUAUUGGGCGUAAAGGGAGCGCAGGCGGUCUGUUAAGUCUGAUGUGAAAGCUUUCGGCUUAACCGGAGUAGUGCAUUGGAAGCUGGGAGACUUGAGGGCAGAAGAGGAGAGUGGAACUCGAGGUGUAGCGGUGAAAUGCUUAGAUAUAUGGAAGAACACCAGUGGCGAAAGCGGCUCUCUGGUCUGUAACUGACGCUGAGGUUCGAAAGCGUGGGUAGCAAACAGGAUUAGAUACCCGUGUAGUC
rnacentral:rRNA from 1 species